rnacentral:tmRNA from 1 species
GGGGAUGAAAGUUUUGACAAAGAUUUGAAUUGAAACAAGCAAGCCGAGCCCUGGAAGCUCGUUAAAAAUCCAGAAAACAAAAUAAGCGCAAACUUAUUUAUAAAACAACCUGCUUACGAAUACGCUUUUGCGUAAAUGCAAGCCAUCUCUCUGUUAAUUCUCAAUAAACAGCAAGAGGUGUCAUAUUUUGAGAUAAGCAAUUGUUUCGCCUCAAAUAAUUGCUGAAUCAAAGAGGCAAAGAUGUUGAAAUUUUUGUCUGUUCUUAUUCCCACAUCUUAAAACAAACAGACUAAGCUUGUAGAAUUAUUUUAAGAAAAAUCUUUGGACGCGGGCUCGCCCCCGCCAUCUCCACUU